ensembl:lncRNA
CCACACACUACGAACACAAGAGGAUCUCUUGCACCCUCGGCCCACUUUCACUCCGCUGACGCGCGAUGGCGGCGCGAACGGGUCCGAGGAAGCGACCGUGUGUGACGCGCCGCAUCAGCUAAUUGAUGGAAAUAUCUCUACCUGGUCACAUUGAGAAAAUGUCUAUUCAUCUUCAUCUACACUUGAAUAGGGGCCACUUUGAAUCCUGUUCACGUUGGAUGCAUGUAAAGAUGAAAUGCAAAACAGUAAAUGGAACUGUAAUACAAUCUUUUUGCAAGGAUGAGAACGUUUAAAAUACCAGAAGAAAAUCAAUGGUGGAAAAUGGUGGUUACUAUUUUUAUGUCUUGCUAUAUUUCUCUACUGAGAAAAAUGUAUUUCCAAAAACAUUUUACUUUUGUACAUUUUAAACAUAUGAUGUAUUAUUAUGGCUUUAACAUGCACAUAUCAUUUAUGUUAAUCCAGUUACAAUUGGAUUAAAAUAACGUAGCACCCUAAAUUGAUUUCAUUUUUCGUGUCAUUACUUUUAAAUACAUUUGGUCAAGAAACAUAUGGACUUGUAUUGUUACAUAUACUUUUACCUAAAAAAUGUAUAUUCCACCGCCGUACCUUGCACACUGCGACCUGUACCCUGCACUCUGUAAAGCCAUAUAAUGGUGCAUACUUAUUGAUUGCCAUACUAUCAACCAUGUUAAUGAUGCAAUGUUUUUCAU